UAUUGGACAAUGGGCGCAAGCGUGAUCCAGCCAUGCCGCGUGGAUGAUGAAGGCCUUAGGGUUGUAAAGUCCUUUUAACGGGGAAGAUAAUGACGGUACCCGUAGAAUAAGCCCCGGCGAACGUCGUGCCAGCAGCCGCGGUAAUACGAAGGGGGCUAGCGUUGCUCGGAAUUACUGGGCGUAAAGCCCACGUAGGCGGCUCUUUAAGUCGGGGGUGAAAUCCUCGAGCUCAACUCCAGAGCUGCCUUCGAUACUGACGAGCUCGAGUCCGGAAGAGGUGAGUGGAACUGCGAGUGUAGAAGUGAAAUUCGUAGAUAUUCGCAAGAACACCAGUGGCGAAGGCGGCUCACUGGCCCGGUACUGACGCUGAGGUGCGAAAGCGUGGGGAGCAAACAGG
rnacentral:rRNA from 1 species